UACGUAGGGAGCGAGCGUUGUCCGGAUUCAUUGGGCGUAAAGAGCUCGUAGGCGGCUUGGUAAGUCGGAUGUGAAACCUCCAGGCUCAACCUGGAGUCGCCAUCCGAUACUGCCAUGGCUAGAGUCCGGUAGGGGCCCACGGAAUUCCUGGUGUAGCGGUGAAAUGCGCAGAUAUCAGGAGGAACACCAACAGCGAAGGCAGAUCUCUGGGACGUAACUGACGCUGAGACGCGAAAGCGUGGGGAGCAAACAGG
rnacentral:rRNA from 1 species